UGGUGGAGUGAUUUGUCUGGUUAAUUCCGUUAACGAACGAGACCUCGACCUGCUAAAUAGUUUGGCGAAUUCCCUGUGGAUUCGCACACAACUUCUUAGAGGGACUAUCGGUUCGCAGCCGGUGGAAGUUCGAGGCAAUAACA
rnacentral:rRNA from 1 species